CUUCUAAAUCUUUUUUUUUUUCUUUUGGUCUGAGGAUCACCGUCCGGGAAAAUUGUACGACGUAUCUUAUAGUUAUUAUCCACGUUUGGCGGCGGCCUUGCAUUGAGGCGAGGUGGCUUAACAAGACAGACGAUCGGAACUCGCGCGCGCGUAAGAGUGCGCACCGCGCGCUCAACGAGCGCUAAAAAACUCCAGUCGAAGAGAGGAGGCGAGCGGAAGGAGAGGUCCGCGGCGUAUAUACACGCCAGGUAGAUAUAUAAGGAGCAGAUGCGUCUGUCAUUAAUAUGAGCGGGCCGAGCUAUUAAUAACCGGUUAAUGAGGUGCUCUGGUCCCUCGCCAUCCCUUCCCUGCCGCCCCCGCGUAUUCCCCUGUCGUAUGUGCGUGCGUAUGUAGGACCGACUGCACGCUCGUAUCACGCCAACGUGUGGACAAGGGGGAUGAUCGCGCGCGUUAUACGUACACACGUACGUAUACGCGCGUGCAUUUUCACACGCGCCCACGAAUCGCAUUGUACUCGCGCCCGCGCGGUCGUCAAAGAGGCCCCGCCGAACGUGAACGUGAUUUAUAAUCGGCCGCGUGCAGCAGCGGGUGAAUAGAAUGGGCGAGAGGCGACGGGGAAAGGGAUGCGAUUGAAGCUGAAGGAAAACAUGGUAAUAUUGAACGUAAGAAUAUCUACUUCCUAUAUAGCGGUCGACGAUACUGCGGCGAAAGCUAUACAUUACGACACAAAACUGUGAGACAUCGAAGCGUCAAGGAUAAAGACCGUGAUUAAAAUUUAUUAAAAAUUGUCGUGAAAAAAUUUUGUUGCGAUUUGUGUAAUAAAAUUGCAGGCAAGAUGCAACAAAAGACCCGUUAAAUAUAUUUUUAAUCUAAAAUCUAUCUUGUUUGAUAAAACGAGAUUUGUUAAAUAAUAUUAAAACCUGUAAUUGUUUUCAUAUUGUUGUAAAAUACUUCCAAUUUUAUAGUUAGUAAUAAAUUAGUUAUGUCUAUUAAUCCGGAAGUAAUCAUUUCGAAUGUUUUUAAACUUCAGUAGCGAAAAAAUGAAGCUCAAACAGUACAAUAGUUUUCAUUACUGAUUUAUAAGUAUUAUCUAUUUUUUAAUUCCUCUUUUUUUUAAAUAUUGAAUAAAAUUUUUAUAAUUAUAAAAUAAUCUCACAUAAAUGAUUAUAAAAUUAGUAAUACAAAAUGACUAUUCUUGGAUUAAUAGCAAUAAAUUUUACAAAAAAUGUAUAUAUACUAAAAUGACAAGUAAAAAAUUACAUUGGAUUUAAAUAAAAUAAUCAAUACUGCUUUUUCUCUUAACAAACUUACAUGAACAAUUUCCUCGCGUGUUUAACUGUUCAACGACUAAGUCAACGACACUGGCUACUCCAAAUCAAUAAUGGUUUAUCGAUUGGACAAGGUAUCAGGAGGGAUAAGCAAAACGAGCGAGUUCAAUCCCGAGUUACUCGGUAUACAUUUAACGUGUAGAAACAGAGAUUUGAUCAGACUAAUCUCGACCGACGAAGAGAGAAUUGCUAGACGAGUGAAAUCUAAUUUAACAUACCUUCGAGAAACCAGUGCGACAAUAACGGAGCAUAAAAUUCGAGAUUCUUAUCGGCAAUUUAAUUAUAACAUAUAAUCACGAAAUUAAUGUAUCGUAUCAAGUGGCAUCGCGCGCCAGUUAUGCAAUUAUAGAUCUAAUACCUUUCCUCUCUUCCACGAACGACAAAAUGAGAGAAAACAGUCGCGGCAUAUAUUUCUAUCGACUCAGGUAGAGAGGGAGAGAGAGGGAGAGAGAGAGAGAGGAAGGAGUAUUCUUGUCCCCUUAGAUCUGCAGGCAAGUUUCACACCGUCUACCAGGGAAGCAGGCGAAGGGGGAGGGGGAGAAGAGAGAUCGACGGGAGGGUUGGCCUCCGAUAAUUAAAUGAGAACCCCUGAGUAUACGAACGCAGGAACGCCCACGCCAUGCAUCAACCGUGACGUAGAUAGGUAACGCCGCUGCAGAUGGAGAGAAGAUGGUCCUCCGAGAUAUACCCCCGCGGUCGGUCUUCCACCUUAGUUAGGGUCAGCUAUCUCGCGCGACCCAUCUCCGCCUAUCCAAUCACACACCGCGCACCGCGUAUAUGGCACGCAAGCGAUAAUACACGGUGUCCCAAUUAUCCCGCGACACGGCAAGGGCCCCGCGUCGAGCCGGGACUCGCUCGCCGUGAGAGCAUUUUCAACACGCCCCCUCGUCCCGAUUGGGGCCCGACGGUGGACGACAACGAGUGUAUCGGUUUCACGUUGUAAAUCGCGAACACUCCGACCCCCUCCCCCCCCCCUCCGACUCUCCGCCAUCGACAGCAGGCAUUCCAGCAGCCUGGAAGAGCCGUUCGCUUUUUGUUACUUAUUCCUUCGUUCGUUUUAAACAGGUUAUUAUUUUUAAGAAGUCCCUGCUGAAGUGCAGUACUCUCAAUUAUUCGUAAAGUAUAAGAGUAUCGUAGCUUUAAUAGAUAAAUCUUUAAUUCUUGCACCAUAUAAUCGAAUUGUUUGCGUUUACCUAACAUAAAGACGGAUAAUCGACAACCGAACAUAAAGUGUAUGGUACAAAGUAAGAUAGUACAUUUACAUUGUGCGUCUUUACCUCUUACGUUAAUGUAGUUUUGCAUAAAUAAUGUAUUCCUUUAAGGGGAGAACGAUAAAUAAAAAAGGCGGGGAAAAAACGUUUGUAGCGAAUAACGCCUAUUAGCAACGGAUGGCCAAUUUAACGCACGCAAGUCUGAAACGUUACGCUCGUCCCUUAAUUUCGAAAUCCGGAGCAACAAAACGGCUGCAAGUCGAGUCUAUUGAAAGCAACGUCUUUAACUUCGUGCGCCACGCUCAAAAACAUGUGGGGUGAAAAAUUUUAAUCUAACCACGAUCUCUCACGAGUACGCAUUUUGCAUUUGGAGCAUAGACCGAUCAAUUAAUUCGUUUCCACUUAAGAAAAUUGCGUAAUGAACAUUUCAAUCUCUAAGGUCACGUAACGUAAGCCCUCAGGACACCCACAGCCUGAUGUUCGACCUAAUUCGAGUUUCAACCUGUCAUAAACUCGACUUCCUUUAUGCGCCUACAUAAUGGCGUGUUAGAGGCGUAAAGCCGGCUACUUUAGUCUCGAAAAAUGGUUAUUGCAUAUAUAUUUAUAUCGUGGAACAGCUCCAAGUGGAACGUUAGAAUGUCGAAAAGAUUUUCAUGUUUUCGAUCGUGACAGCGACGAAUGCUGCAAGUUUAAGAAUAUUUUAGCUCUACUCUCUAAAUUGCAAUCAGUGUAUUUUUACUGAUUUGCAGUGGUAUACUUAUAACUAUAAUAAUUAAUAAAUAUCCACUGACUGAGUGAUUUUUACUUCAGAAUUAAUGUAUAAUCACUGAAAGAUCAGUGUAUUUGUUUCACUGAUGGACAACGUUAUAAAUAUACCACUGAAAUAAAUGUUUUCAGUUGAUUGCAGUUUAGAAAGUAUAACUAGCCAAAAGUUAUUAUUUAAAAACUUUUUAAGUUUUUAUAAUUAACAAAAGUAAAAAAAUUUGACUAUGAAUGUGAAAUUUUGGUGUUGAAACCAGUUGCAAAGUAAAAAACAACGAAAAAUUGGCUUAUAAUAAUUUAUGCAUUGAAAUGAUCAUAUUUUGCUGCAAUUUUUGGUAAACAAAACACGAUUUUACAAUAAAAAAUAACUUUUAAAUCAAUAAGAUAUAACUGUGCUCAAAUUUUACAGAUAAUAAUAGAAUAAUAGAAUAAUCUAUGAAAUUUUAUAAUUUUACUAAUACUUUAAUCAUACAUCUUAAUUAAGUUACUCUUAAGUAACUCUUAAAUUUAAAUAAAUUAAAGUAAUAUUGGCAAUACCGAAUUUUUCGUUUUCUAAUUUGUAUAAUAUUGUCGCAAAAUACUGCUUACGAAUAUACGUUGACAUAAAAAUACAUUCAGAAACAAUAAGACAAAACACUUCUCUGAGACACUCUCCGUUCAUUCAGAAUUAAUUUUAAGUUGAAGUGAAGAUGUCCACAAAAAUCUGUACGAAAAAUGCCAAGCAGCGCGCUUGUUAUUUUCUUUACGUUGAAAAGUGUCACGGUCAUAAGUAUCACGGCAAGUAAAAAUAAAAUUUAUUAUAUGUAUAAUUACUUAUUUAGUUUUAACAAAUUGAAAGAAAAUAUUUCGAUUGUAGACUCUAAUCAAAUCUAAGAAUAACUGUAGUAACACACUAAACGCAUAAUCCAAUUUAUUGCGGCGCUCUUCAGUAUUUGAAAAAUAAACGGCGGGAUUAUGCGACGUGACACUCAAAGGAUUAACGUGAAGCCGAAAGAGAAUCGUGACGAGCACGUGCAAACUACAAUCCGGAUGGUCCGAGCAGUACAAUCGAAAGACGCAAUGGAGGUGUACCACGCCCUUGUCGCCACGGCCAGCCAAUCCUCGCUGUCGCCUGUGUCGCUCCGUGGUGGGGACAGAGGACAGCGACAUUCUGAGUCGUGGAGGACGGAAGCGCAGCAUGGCGAGGAAAUCCAAUACACGUGUCUCCGCUCUUAAUUCGGGGGAAGUGCCUAACGCGCUUCGCGAGCUGAUUCGCUAGGGGAAGGGGAAUCAGGUGACACUUCGCGUGACCUAUCCCGCCGUUGCGUACCGAGGAAGUGAUAUUAUCGCGAAGUCGUAAUCACAGUCGGCAAAAGCCGUUAUUUCUCCAUUUCGACAGGAUAAUUAUCUAAUUUUCAUUCGGAUAGAAUCUCUUCUUAGAGUGAUUUAUAUGCCAUUAUAACGCACUUGAUGCAUUACACCGAAUAAUAUUGUGAUUUGUAAUAUUUACAAUCACAACUUGCCUGAUCAAAAAUUUGAUAUGUUUUGAAGUUUUGAAUAUACUUAUCAAAAAAAUUGUAUAAUGGGUGAGACAAGAAUUUUAUGCUCUUUCUUAUACAAAUUAUUUAAAUUAGACACAUAAUAUCCUUUCCUCUACUUUACAUUUGUAAAGUAUAUUGUUAUGAUAAAGUUCAUUUUAAACAAUCUACAACUAUGUCAAAGAAUUUAGAACAGAAUUCUAUUUAUAAUUUUAUAUGUCGUAUAGUACGAGAAAUAUUUGAACAAUCAGAAAAGACACACACAUGUAAAAUGUAUGCAUACAUUAAAAUACAAAUACGUAAAUGCAUUGUAGACACUAAUGCUAGUUCAAUCGAGUACUGCUCUCGCUCUUUAAAAAAUUAGUCUCAAAGCGUUAAGUAAACAGUGUUUUCUCUUUCUCUCUCUAUGACGUAUCUCUCCUUAAGUCUUGAAUCGUUUGUUAGCUUCCGAUCUCAUUCGGCUUAUGUGUAUAUGUCAUAUAUUGCUAUUCUAUUUCUCUUUCCCAUUCUUAGAUUCGACUUAAAGACAUCGAACGAAGCAAUAACGAGAGAAGAACAGGCUCUCAGCGAGAGCCCCACCCACGAAGGGCGGUGACGGUAUCUGUGUCGCAGACUACGGAGGGAAAAGUCUCCGACGACGACCAACGCCUGGCCUGGUCCCGUUGGCGACACCGAACGCCGUAGGGAAAGGGACAACGGCGUGUCCCGCGCGUCGGGGGAGGGCACGAGAACGGUGGACGGGGGUGACCGGGCGAAGGACGACGUGCGGGGGAAUCGGGCGUCGUCGAGUGACAAACUCGGAGAGGAGUUGUCACCGCGCACUCGGCGAAUCAGGGGCCCCGGAUAAACGCAAAGAGGAGGAAAGAGAGAGAUAGAGAGAAAGAGAGAGGGGAACGUGAGGACAUCAAGGCGCAAGCGCUCGCGACCUGCUGGACACGCGGGCGACACAUCGAUCCACGGUUCCACAACCUCGCAUCCCGCCUGCGUCCCGCCACCCUCCUCACUACCACCCCCUCUUUCUUCUCCUCUUCUUCCUCUACCUCCUAGACCACCCCCUCCCACACCCCAUCCUCGCGCUUCUCCUUCGGGAACCCCUAGUGCUUUGUCCCUCCAUCCGCCAUCUACCACCCCCACAUCCACCUCCGUCUCCUUUCCUUGAUUAAACCGCGCUCGCUGCCGCCGCGUUGUUGCUCGUGAAAGUAUCAGGCCGUUCUCUCGGGCGGCGUAGAGGAUUUCCUGUUACAUUCCGGGAGGAAGGAGCGGGACAGGGGGGGUUGCACAGCUUGGCGCAUUGCUGAAGAUUAAUAAGGAGAAUAAAUUAUUAUGAGCAACGCGGAGCGCGUUUUUCAAGGAGGGAAGCUUCGAUUAUUGUCUCUGGUGAAUUUCAUGGAUACUUCUCGCGACAACAGCACCUUUCCGAGGCGACUGUCGCUGAAGGCCUGCAUUGACAGAGAGGCUGCGCCACGACCAUACGAAUCGCCUCGGACCUCCUAAGGUCGAAUAUUAAUGAGAGGAUAUAGAGACGGUCACCUCACACCACUCCGGAUCUCGGCAGCAGACUCACGGAUCGUCUCUGAUGGAGAGAGGUUACCGAGAGGCUUCCACCUCCUCCUCCUCCUCCUCUUCCUCCUCUUCCCACCUCCACCUCGUGAGAUGAGAGUCGAAGAGAAGCACCGGCACAGAGGAGUACGAGGUAGGGAGUAUCAGGGAGGGUCUCCACCCUACAACGAGACCGUGGAGGGAGGACGUCGUCAGGUUACGAGAAGACGAGAGAAAGAUGAAGGAGGGAGAGAGAAAGAGAUAAGCGAGGGAGGUAAGAGGUAGGGAAGAAGAGAGAGGGACGCGGAACGAGAGACAGAGGGAAGGUAAAGAGGAGGAGGACGUAGUGGAGGACGAGGACGAGGACGACCAGGAGAAAACGGAGGUCGGGUUGCUCGGUGAGAGAGGCAGGAGGACGAAAAAGGUGCGAGCGAGAAAGAGAGAUGAAGAGAGAGAGAGAGAGAGAGAGAGAGAGAGAGAGAGAGAGAGAGAGAGAGAGAGAGAGAGAGAGAGAAGGAUGGAGAGACAUACCGAUAGAGAGAAAGAGAGAGAUAGAGAGAAGGAGAGGGAGGACGAGAUCUGGACCCCGCGUAGGAGACGUUCAAUACUGUAGCAACGACGCCGAGGCAGCGCCAUUGGCUACCAUUUUCUCUCUAUACCUUCUAGGCAUACACCUUGUACUCUAUUCCGGUCUACUCCACUUUAUUCCCGCUUCGCUUCCAUGCCCUCUCUCUGCUUCCCACUUCCUUCCCCUGCUCGUCCCUCUUCCUCGCUGCGCUCUCGCGCUGUUCGCGAGGACGGCAUACUGGGACCGGGAUGAGAAAGAAAAAAGCCUUUUUCACCUUUCCGCCGAAUUUGUGAGGAUGAAAUGCAGACCAGAACGUUUCUUUUUCCUAGAAAUAGCGAGACGUAUUAUUCGUGAAACAAACUUUUUUAUUCAAUUUAAUUUGCUGUACCUGUCCAUGAGAGAGAAUGAAAUUAUUACGAAAUUAUUAUCGGACCCAUUCUAUUUUGUAUAAAAUAAAAUAGAAAUUUUUAAUAAAAAUUAAUUUUAAAUAGAUACUGAUCACAAACUGUAGAUAAAUUGCAAAAAUAUAUAACUUGAGAUACAAAAAUCUUUCUAUUCAUAAACGUCAUGUAUAACCUGGAUAAUUUGUUAUUCUCUCAGUAGCUAUUCUGGAUUUCAAUUUUCUAACGUGAUGAAACCAUCUAUAAUCGCUACUCGACUAAUCUUUUUAUGUCUCGGUGAUCGCAAACGACUGCACGCGUAGUAAUAUAGAAAUUAAAGUCCAGAUCCAAAUCCUGAGGUAAUACUUUUCAAUUCUUUACACUUUUUCAAGAAGAAUCUUGUAGAUGCUUAUUAGUACCAGUAUAUUAUUAAAUUUAAUAUUGUGAUAUUAUACUAUUCUGAUUCAAUUUAAAAGCUGCGUUUCAAGACCAAAAGUAACAACGUAUAGUUCAAAAAAAUUAGAAAAUAUAUUAUAUAUAAAAACUUAUAUAAGAAAUUAUAUAAUUAUAUAUUAUUGAGCAUUAAAAUCUUAUUUUAUAAUCAUGGUCUCUUCUCAAUUUUAAUGGUGUUGUACACAUUGCGAUUUCAUACCAAUUAUUAUUUUAAUCUUUUUAUGUUGUUCUAAUUUUCUACGUGUUAUCAUUUUAUAUACAAAUAUUAUUUAUCUGCCAGUUACAGUUAUAUUUAUGACCAAGAUACACUACAACUUUAGACUGUUUGAGAAUAGCGCUUGCGCUAUUUCGAGAUCACUUAGAGUUCCACCCAAUUAAACUCCUCUCAAUGUGUGUAUGAGCACGUAAUAAUAUCUAUAUUCACUUCCACUUUGCGCCUCCGUAAUUUUCAUGUCUUGCUCUCUUGUUGUUUGCCGCUAUAACAAUAACACAACAACAGGUAAUAGUCUCAUCUUAAUUUCUAUUCUUAGAAUAUUUAAAUAUUCUGUACUUUUUCUUUCUGUAUUUUUUACCUUUUUACAUUUUUGCAAUAUUAUCAUUAUACAAUAAAAAUUGUUCACAUUUGUGUUUCCGAAAGAAAGAGAAAAAAAUGUUCGCUCAUUUCUCAUCAUCGCGGAUGUGUAAUUUAACACUCAAAAAGUUCAGACUUGCCAAAUGAAACAUCGCGUUCUUAACUCUUCAAGUUUCUGCGGAA